AAAUAAAGAAUAAGAAAAAUCAAAAGGCACAUACCAGCCCCUUAGCACAGAAGAGCAACCAGGUCCAGAAUCAUAAUAAUAUUCAUGGCGGUGGGGGUAUGUAGGUGGAGGGAUGAAGUAACCUUGAUAACCGUGAGGAGGUGGAGGAUGCUGAUGGCGAUGUGCUGGUGGUGGCGGUGGGAGACCAAUAGGCGGAUGCCCCGGGCCCGGUGGAUGUGGUGAUCGAUGCCCUAGAAAGUAUAAACAUAUAGUCUGCAACUUAUUAACCAUAAAAAUCCCAAUUAAGAUAACUUAGUAAUACAUGUUAUUACUUGCCUGGAGGUGGAGGUGGAUGAUGAUGAUGAGGUGGAGGUGGAUGAUGAUGGUGGUGAUGAUGCCCACUCAUGGAUUUUCAGAUUCCAGUCAGUUGAAUUGAACUGAAUCCUAGCAAUAGAAAACAAAGGUGUGAAGACGAUGAGGAAGUGGCGGUCAGCGGUCUUCUCCUCCGAGUCCUAAAUCCUGAUAUUCUUUCG
rnacentral:lncRNA from 1 species